AAUUAGAAAGUGAAGUAUUUACAUUUAGUUUCGACCUAAAACUUGACCCUUUGGUCUCUAAUUU
rnacentral:tRNA from 1 species